rnacentral:rRNA from 1 species
GACGAACGCUGGCGGCGUGCCUAAUACAUGCAAGUCGAACGCUUUUUCUUUCACCGGAGCUUGCUCCACCGAAAGAAAAAGAGUGGCGAACGGGUGAGUAACACGUGGGUAACCUGCCCAUCAGAAGGGGAUAACACUUGGAAACAGGUGCUAAUACCGUAUAACACUAUUUUCCGCAUGGAAGAAAGUUGAAAGGCGCUUUUGCGUCACUGAUGGAUGGACCCGCGGUGCAUUAGCUAGUUGGUGAGGUAACGGCUCACCAAGGCAACGAUGCCUAGCCGACCUGGGAGGGGGAUCGGCCACACUGGGACUGGGACACGGCCCAGACCCCUACGGGAGGCAGCAGUAGGGAAUCUUCGGCAAUGGACGAGAGUCUGACCGAGCAACGCCGCGUGAGUGAAGAAGGUUUUCGGAUCGUAAAACUCUGUUGUUAGAGAAGAACAAGGAUGAGAGUAGAACGUUCAUCCCUUGACGGUAUCUAACCAGAAAGCCACGGCUAACUACGUGCCAGCAGCAGCCGCCG